rnacentral:tRNA from 1 species
GAGAGUAUAGCUCAGUGGCAGAGUGUAUGCCUAGCAAUGCACAAGGUCUUAGGUUCACUUCCCAGUACUUUCA